rnacentral:tRNA from 1 species
GGUGGCUCAGUGGUAGAGUGCUUGCCUUGCAUGCAUGAGGCCCGGGGUUCGAUUCCCCAGCACCA